rnacentral:rRNA from 1 species
GGUUAAGCGACUAAGCGUACACGGUGGAUGCCCUGGCAGUCAGAGGCGAUGAAGGACGUGCUAAUCUGCGAAAAGCGUCGGUAAGGUGAUAUGAACCGUUACAGCCGGCGAUGUCCGAAUGGGGAAACCCAGUGCAAUUCGUUGCACUAUCGUUAACUGAAUACAUAGGUUAACGAGGCGAACCGGGGGAACUGAAACAUCUAAGUACCCCGAGGAAAAGAAAUCAACCGAGAUUCCCCCAGUAGCGGCGAGCGAACGGGGAGCAGCCCAGAGUCUGAAUCAGCUUGUGUGUUAGUGGAACGGUCUGGAAAGUCCGACGGUACAGGGUGAUAGUCCCGUACACCAAAAUGCACAGGCUGUGAACUCGAAGAGUAGGGCGGGACACGUGGUAUCCUGUCUGAAUAUGGGGGGACCAUCCUCCAAGGCUAAAUACUCCUGACUGACCGAUAGUGAACCAGUACCGUGAGGGAAAGGCGAAAAGAACCCCGGCGAGGGGAGUGAAAAAGAACCUGAAACCGUGUACGUACAAGCAGUGGGAGCACCCUUUAGGGUGUGACUGCGUACCUUUUGUAUAAUGGGUCAGCGACUUAUAUUCUGUAGCAAGGUUAACCGUAUAGGGGAGCCG